rnacentral:rRNA from 1 species
UACGAAGGGGGCUAGCGUUGCUCGGAAUCACUGGGCGUAAAGGGUGCGUAGGCGGGUCUUUAAGUCAGGGGUGAAAUCCUGGAGCUCAACUCCAGAACUGCCUUUGAUACUGAAGAUCUUGAGUUCGGGAGAGGUGAGUGGAACUGCGAGUGUAGAGAUGAAAUUCGUAGAUAUUCGCAAGAACACCAGUGGCGAAGGCGGCUCACUGGCCCGAUACUGACGCUGAUGCACGAAAGCGUGGGGAGCAAACAGG